GUCGCCUAGAGCUGGAUGGGUCUAUUGUAACGCAAGCUCGGCCUGCCACUUCAUCUUGGGACCCAGUUGAAGCCAUGAGGACAUCCAUUACCCACAUGGCACAGCGGAUGGACACAUUUGAGGAAAAGAUGGAUGAGCUGCUCAUGCUCUUAAGGAGCUCCCAGUCACCUCCCUCUGCUCCAGUCGAUGACAUGUUGCUGUCGCAAUGCUCAACAGUCACCGAGCUGCAGGAGUUCGACAGGAGUCUUGGUCAUCUGGAGAGGAGGAACAAAAUGCAACUUUUCCUGACAACCCUUGGAGGUUCGACCAGAGGUACUGCCAUUCGUCACAUGCUACGUUCUGGGAACCAAAAAUUGUUAGCUGGGAUCUGCUGAUAAAGGGCCGGUGCCGGCAUUUUUGAGUUGUUUUGUUUAGUUAUAGCUAGAGAUGGUCUGAUACCAUUUUUUGCUUCCCAAUACUGAUUCCGAUACUUGAACUUGAGUAUCGGCCGAUACCGAGUACCAAUCCAA